rnacentral:misc_RNA from 1 species
CUUCUUCUUUCUUUCUUUCUUUCUUUCUCUUCAAUGGCUACUGUUUUCCUUCUCUUCUUCCUCUCCAUUCUUUCUUUUUCUUCUGCUUCUUCUACAAAUGACCUGCCAAGAACCUUCAUUGUUAAAGUCCAACACGAUGCCAAGCCUUCCAUUUUCACUCUCCACAAGCACUGGUACGAUUCUUUCCUUUCCUCCCUUUCCUCUUCCUCCAAUAAAACGACGCCGUCUUCUUCUCCUCCUGCUGAGUCUCGCAUCAUCCACACUUACGAAACUGUUUUCCAUGGCUUUUCUGUCAAACUCUCCCCCACCGAGGCUCUUAAGAUCCAAGCCCUCCCCCAUGUCAUUGCCGUCAUACCUGAACGUCUCCGGCACGUGCAAACCACUCGAUCCCCUGAAUUUCUUGGCCUGAAGACCACAGAUAGUGCUGGGUUGCUUAAAGAAUCAGACUUUGGGUCGGAUCUUGUCAUCGGGGUUAUCGACACUGGAAUCUGGCCAGAGCGGCAAAGCUUCAACGACAGAGACUUGGGUCCAGUUCCGGCGAAAUGGAAAGGUACAUGUGUGAGUGGUAAAGACUUUAGUCCAGCUUCUUGUAACAGAAAGCUUAUAGGAGCUCGCUUCUUUUGCAAUGGCUACGAGGCAACCAACGGCAAGAUGAACGAGUCGACGGAGUACCGAUCUCCGCGGGACUCCGAUGGCCACGGCACCCAUACCGCAUCCAUAGCCGCCGNNNNNNNNNNNNUUCGACACUGGGCUACGCUAAGGGUAUUGCUGCAGGGAUGGCACCGAAAGCUCGGCUUGCCACUUACAAAGUAUGCUGGAAUGCUGGAUGUUACGACUCCGACAUUCUAGCUGCAUUCGAUGCUGCUGUUAAUGAUGGGGUCGAUGUUAUUUCGCUCAGUGUCGGCGGCGUUGUAGUUCCCUAUUAUCUGGAUGCAAUUGCUAUUAGCUCGUUCGGAGCUGUAGAUCGUGGGGUCUUCGUCUCUGCCUCUGCCGGUAAUGGCGGCCCCGGGGGCUUACGGUCACCAAUGUAGCUCCCUGGGUUGCUACUAUUGGUGCUGGAACUAUUGACAGGGACUUCCCAGCUGAUGUGAAGCUUGGAAGUGGAAAAGUGAUACCUGGUGUGAGUGUUUAUGGUGGUCCAGGUUUGGCUCCAGGGAAAAUGUAUCCUCUCAUUUAUGCUGGUAGUGAAGGUACUGGAGAUGGUUACUCUAGUUCUUUAUGCUUGGAGGGUUCUUUAGAUCCCAAGCUUGUUAAAGGCAAAAUUGUGUUGUGUGAUAGAGGGAUCAAUUCCAGGGCUGCUAAAGGUGAUGUUGUGAAGAAGGCAGGAGGAGUAGGAAUGAUUUUAGCUAAUGGGGUUUUUGAUGGUGAGGGUUUAGUUGCUGAUUGCCAUGUACUGCCUGCUACUGCUGUGGGUGCAUCUGCUGGUGAUGACAUUAGAAGGUACAUUUCUGUGGCUUCUAAAUCAAACUCACCACCUACUGCUACUAUCGUUUUUAAGGGGACUAGACUCGGUGUUCGGCCAGCACCAGUUGUGGCUUCAUUUUCAGCUAGAGGGCC